UUUCAAUGUAUUCAGGGCUUUUCAACUCGUCCUUGUCCUUCUGUAAACCAUUUUGCCCUCUUUUUAUUCCAAAAUAAACUACAUAUAAAGUACUUUGAAAUACUUUUAUUUUUUAAGGUGAAGAGAACCUUCAUUCUCCUUAACCGCUUAUGGAUCGGGUCACGGUGGGGCAUACAGACAGACAAUGAUUCAUGCUCUCAUUCACUCCUAUCAGCAAUUUGCAAUUUCACCUAAGCUGCAUGUUUUUGGACUGUAUGAGGAAUUCGGAGGACCCAAAGAGAAUCCACGCUGACACGGGUAAACGUGCAAAUUCCACACAGAAGAGCCACAGGCCGGAGUUGAACCGGCGACCCCCUUGCUGUGAGGCAAGAGUGAAGAGGACCUGACCUUUGAAUUUAAACCUGCAGUGAAGAGCUGCCUCCAGGGGCCUGCAUGUUCAUCAUAUCCCUCUCGCCUGUCAGGAGCGCCCCCUACAAGUCUUCCCUUCAUGUGUCCAAACCCAGUGUUAUUUUAUUCUCUACCAGAGGAGGGCAGCACUAGCCCAGCUGUGCACAAGAUCUAUGAAGACUUCAGAUAACUCCAGGAGAGUAAAAUAAGUAAAAACAGCAACAUUUCUGAGACACACCUGAUCUCAACAAAGAUGUACAGUCUUAAUGCAAAUAAUUCUAAAGGUUUCAUCUCUUUUUUCCUCAUGACUAAUAACAGUGCAUGUUAUGAUGACUUACCUUCCACAGAGCAAGACUGAGCAGGGCUAACAAUAAGAGUCCUCCCAGCGUGCUACCAAUGAUAAUCCAGUUAGGGAUUCUGUAAUCUCCCUCCUUCCUGAUCUCCAAUAUUAUCUGUAGAAGAGAUGAUAUUGGCAUCAUUAGAAAAUAAAUUCUUAUUUCUUUUUGGGAUGGACACUGAAUUUACUCAACUAAAAAUAUGUACAUCCAGUACUAUUUGUAAUCAUAAAUUAUUGUCUGUAAUGACAACAAAUGCUAAAAAUGAAGCUACUUUGACAUUCACAGGCAGUAAUUGAUUAUGAACAUGAUUAUACUGAAUUAUAAAUCCAGAUAUUUGUUAUUGUGGUUAUAUUCAGCACAUGAACACAAAUAUGUACAUAAGUAGAAUAAACCCAUGACAAUUUUUCAGAAUUUGGUCUUAAACGGGACUGAAAACUUUCUUUCUAAACACACAUUUUAGAGAAACAGCACAGAUCAGAACCAGGUUAACCACGAAAUCUCUUUUCUACACUAAUAAUACAUUUAGAGCUUACGUAAGCUAAAAUAAAUCAGUAUGCAUUGACUCUUAAAAGAAUAUUAGAGACAUUUUAUGACUGUUUGUAAUGGCCCAUAGAUGGCAGCAAAGAUCAGUGCAUGAGUCCAGACAUUUACAUGUUGUGCCGCUGGUCCUUUCGGUCCCUAAGCACCACACAGCACGUAUGAUUCAACACCAACCUUUACUGUCUGAUUCCACACUGCUUCAGUUAUUCAACUAUAGCAGAAACCACUCAUAUCUCUUUUUUAUAUAUAAGUCACAUCUGUUCUUGUUUAGUGUUCCAGAUAUUAUACUAUUCUAAUACUUUCAGUCCAUUCUAAUAAGUUUUAAAGACUGAUCUCCUUAAGCAGGAAACACUAUAUUCACACAUGGAUGUGAUAACAAUAAGAGAGAGGCUAAAUCUGAUCAAAUUAUGAUGCUAUUAUGAGCUCAGAUUUGAGUCAGGUCAUCCCCGGGACAGACACAGUUUACAGCAUGAGUUGUUGUUGACUCACAUGUCUGACAGGCCUCUCUUCAUGUAAAAACAUGGGGCCGGAGGAGGGGAGCUCCGCUGAUGCACUGGUUCCCAGUUCCAGGAUCUUAAACUUCAGCUGGAGAGGAAAUCAAAACAUGCUGCCAGUUUUCACAAACACAUCACACAGCUGAGAGACUACAAAGCUGUCGUCAAAGCAGAACAACAGCACGACGAAUAGAGCAUUUGCAUGCAUAUGUGUUAUUAUAAAGCAGGGGAUUUCCAGCUU